AAAAUCUCAAAAACUCUAUUCUUAAUUCUUCUCUCAAUUCUCCAAAAUCAACCCAAAAAUCUCAAAAACUCUAUUCUUAAUUCUUCUCUCAAUUCUCCAAAAUCAAAAACUCACAAAAAUUAUCCAAACUCAUCAAUUGUCAUAAUGAAUCUCAUGAGAACUCAAGAACAUUGAAGAUCACGAAGGAUCAAUACUCUAUCUCUUUCUCUUGCGAUCUCUCUCACUCGUGAUAGUCUUCCGUCGCCACUGCAAGACCACCGCUCGCUGCCUCUCUUCGUCACCAAUUCGUCGGCAACUUUGCUUCUCCAAUCGCAAAUUCCAGCCGCGGAUAGUCUCCUUCAGUCAUCUUUAAUUUCACUUCGGUAAACUUUCUUGAUCCUCCAUUAUUGAUUGUGUUGGUUGUUGAGAAUUGAUACAUAUGCUUAAUGAAUGAUUAAUUGUUGAACAUGUGAAUUAAAGAAUUGAUGAUCUAGUUGUUGUUACUAACUAAUUGACGGUGAUUAUGAUUGAUGUGGAUGAUCAAAUGUUGAUGACUAUGGAAAUUGAAAGGGAUUAUGUUCAUAAUCGUGUUUGGUGUUGUUAUGGUAAUUUGGAUUGAUGAUCAUUAGAUAUUGAUUGUCUAUAAUAGUUGAAUUGUUGUUUCUUAUGAUUCAAAAUUACCCGAGAAAAUUAUUGUCUGAUUGAUGCAUCCUAUGUGUUUGGUCAAAUGCAUGUGCGAGUUGUAAUGAUGUGAAUCGGUGAUUAAUUGGGCGUUGACAGGGAAUGUUGCUCAUAAUGGAAAAUUGUUGAUAAGGAUAGGUGGAUAAUUGGUAAUUGUUAAUGAUGAAGAUUGUAUGAUUAGUUAAGCAUGUGCUGUAUGAAUAAGUGUUGUUGCUGUCAACUAAUGUUAGACUUUACUUGAUGAUAAUUAAUGCUUGAUUGUUCAUAAAGAGGAAAGUGAAUUGUUGGUAAUUGAGUUGAUUAAUCAAUGUUGCUGGAGUCUUGGAUAUGAUAAUGAUUGUGUUUCUAUAUGCUUGAACUUGAUCUUUCAUAUGUAUACAUGUUGUGUUUAUGCACUAGAUGAUGAAUUUCCAUUUUGAUUUCGGUUGAGUAUUAUGAUGCAUUCUUGUUGCUUGGAACUACUCUCAUGCUAUGCUCCAUAUUCUAAAGUCGUGUAUGCUUGUGCCUCAUGAAUUGCAAAACAUAAUAACACUUGUUCAUUGCUAACACUUGUGCCGAAUUGGAUUAAUUGCUAAUGACAAUAUCGUGGCUGUUUUGAUUGAACUUAUGAUAGUGCAGAAUUUUGUUUUAAAGGACAGCAUUAAUAUGUUUGUGCUACAAGAUAACUCAUGAGAAUUUUGGUUGAUGGUUGAUAAUAGUGUGGUUCAUAAAUAGGUGCUUAAUUGUUGUUUUAAACAUGAUUUUGAGCCUCUAAUUGAUGAAUAAAAUUGCUGGAAAUUAAUGGCUAUUUGUAGUGGUUGUUUGCACAAGAAAAUGACUAGAAAUUUGAUAACAUGAUAGGUUGCUAAUGCAGAUUUUUUUUUUGAUGAGUUGAUAUUGUAGUAUUCCUUUGUUGAUUGACUCAUGAAAGUGUGAAAAAGUCUUGACUAUUGUUGUGUUCUUUGAUCGUUGUUUGCUUGUUGAUUUAGUUGUUGAUUUAGCAUAGGGAAAUGUGGAAUUUAAAUGAGUUGAUAAUGCAGAAAAUUAUUUUGAGUUUGCUUGUUGUUAAACAUUCAAAAUGCAUAAAAAGUGUUGGUUGAUUUUAGUGCAAUUGUUUUGAUUUCAUUCGUGCUUGAUUGUUAAAUAUUUGGAUGAGAUUUUGUACGGUUUUUUGUGGUUAAUAUGUGCUGAAAGUUGCUGAGUCGUUAUGCUAAUUUUUUCGUUUCUUCCGAAUUUUGCAAAUAGACGCGGUACGUCGGCUUUGAUUGAAAAUGCCAUAACUUUUGAACCGUGAUGGGUUUUUGAGCAUGUGAAUAAUGUUUUUUUAGCGUAAUAAUAUUUUCGGAGCUGUUUGUACAAUUUAUUUUCGGUUCCGGCUGACUUUUUUUACCGUUUUCGCUUCUGCCCCUGUUCCGAAAGUCGUGCUUCCGGGCUGAUUUUGUAAAUUUUGAUUGCAUAUUUGACUUCUUUAGCACGUUUUAACCUUGCAAUAAAAUUCUGGAUUAGUUCUGACGAGUUUAGUUUUCACUGUUUUUACCCGGUUUUUCCGUUUCGGUGUACCGUUGUGCAUGUAAAUACUUGUGUUGGCUUCCGUAGUUUUAGUGUACAUAUUUGAUUUGCUUUUGAAUACUAUCCCAUGUUUAUUCUUAUUUGCUUUUGUUAUGUUUUCACUUUCUAUUCCGUUAUCCAUUUCCGGUUCAGCUUAUAAUUCAAUAACGCAAUUCCGAUUGCGGUGUCUUGUUAUCUCUAACGUGUGUGCUAGUAUGCAAGGCAACAUGGAGGCUCUGGUCGAUACCCGCUCUCGUGUUCCGCUUUAUUUGCGGGACACGACAUUUAUCCUCUCUCUGAUUCGCGUUUCUACACGCAUCCUUUAUCAUUAUGCUUGCUUGUCCGGAUUUCUGUUUCCCUUGCAGGUGUAUGGUAUUCGUUGUGCCCGAUGUACACGUUGGCGCAUGAUUUACUUUCAUCGCGCCGACUCUUGAUUGCUCAUGCGGAUUUUAAUCGGAGUGCUGACAUGUUUGUUGUUGCUUUUGCUAGCUCGCUCGCGGGAUUCUAGUUUCUUUGCUUUUCUUCGUUACAGUCUACGGAUCAUCAUCCGUUUGGAACCGGGUCCCAUCUCUGAACCUAUGAACCCCCUCUCUAAGCUCCAAGCUCCCUCCCUGAGCUUGGGAUAAGCCAUUAGUCCCCUCUCUGAACUAGAGAGCAUGCCUCUUGACACAACUCAAAUGAUGCAUGAAUCAUACCUAUCGAUAUCGAUGCGUUAAGACUCAACUCUGAUCUUAACAUAAUGCACUGAUAACUCUCGUAAUACCCUCUAUGGAUCACCACACAACAACAAUCAGGUUCAAGGGCCAUGAUAUGCUUGCCCCUUUCACAGCUGGGUGGCAGGCUACUGAUUUGGAUCCUUUGGUUAUUGAAAAAUCUGAGGUGUAUUACUUCCAUGCUAUGUUUCUUUGAUUUUAAUAGGAUUAGUAAAUAAAGUUUUACUUUGUUUUUAUUAAAAAAAAUAACUAGUUUUUGUGUGUAAUUUACCUGAUUUAUUAUUCCAGGGAUGCUAUGUGUAUGACAUUAAUGGGAAGAAAUAUCUUGAGGCACUUCUGGUCUAUGGUCCACUGCCUUAGGUAUAUGUGAUUUUUUAUUUCUGCUUAUUUACUUAUUUAUUUAUUUAUCCAUUUUUUCCUGAGCUUUGAUAUCUCAAAUUUCCUUUAUUUUAAUCAUUUCUUAAUGACAUUCCUUUGGUUCAUGUUCUCAAUCAAUCUUUAGCAGCAUGUGUUUGCGAUCAAAUCUACUAAUAUAUAUGUAGAUAUUUUAGCUUGCUCAAUCUUCAACCAAAUACUGAAUUACGCCAAGCUGCUCAGGGAUCCAUCUCCCUUCCCUCCAUUUAUUCUGGAACGUUGUUAUUUGUUUCUCAGCAACAAGAAUAAAAAGCAGAGUUGUGCGAUUAUUUUUGCAGAAUGCCCUGGUUAUUGAACUUAGGGGAUUGAAAGAGAUAUUUCAUCAGAAAGAAUGACCUGUAAUGUCAUAGAAUGUGUUUCACAUGUUGUGUGGAUGUGCUGUAGGUUUGUGGUUGAAUUGUGUAUUUUACACUUCUAGCAGCUUGCGCAUAACAAUAUUAAAAUUACAUUGGAAAAUGAAUCGGAUUUGAUCCUUAGAUAUUAGUAUUCAGUAUUAAAAAGAAGGCCCAUUAUAGGAUAGGGAACAGUGGAAGAGAGAUGAUGUUUGAAUGCAUAUCUCCAAAUCUUCCAUAUGACUUUGAAAAGUUUCAGUAGAUGAAGGCCCAUGGAUGAUGAGGAACUGCAAGUCAGAAUCCACCUUCUUAAAUUCAUUUGUCUCUGAUUCUAGAGAAUCCCGGACUGCUCUUUUAGAAUGCAUCAGCUUUGCGGGCCAUUAAGUUUGUUGCAUAUUGAAGACGAUGACACUGUAGAGGUACUUUCAACACUCUUUAGUCUGUGCAAAUUAUCCACAAAUUGUGAUACAAGAGGAUGCGUGUGGAGGGUAAGCUGUUGCUUCGAAGAUGUAGAGAGCUCUUUAUGUUUGCUUCAAAGACUGCCAUAUUUACUUUGCAGAGAAGCUUAGAAGGUUAUAAGGUUAUAGGGUGAGUUUGUUUCAAAAUUUGAGUUUUCGUUGGCUUUUAUGCAGUUAUAUCAUGUGGUGACAUCAACAAGUCAAAGCCCAGUCAGCAAAUGUGGUAAAAAGGUUUGGUAAAUCCAGGUUUUAGGUUUUAUA